ACUUAGUCGUCCGAGUGCCCUAUAUUUGUGCUUUUUAGCCAGCCAUUUGUUCCAUUCAAUAACUUUAAGGUGAUCAGAAAGCAAACUCUCUGUUUGAUUUCCGGUGAGCCUCCAAAUCUGCUCCUUGUAGCCUACCCUCAAUAUUGCAUUUGAUUUGUGGCCUUAACAGGUGCUUUUUAUGCAGCCAUUUUGAUGAGCUUCAAACUUCGUUUCUUUGCACUGAGCCUAGAAAUAAGAUCCUGCAGUUUCCUUUUUAAUCUAGUCAUUUAAUUUAAUCUAGUCAUCAUCCAAAAUGAUUGCAAAAUAUGUGAAACGAUGUGGGCUGUCAUUAUUAAAUUAGUAUUCCUACACACGCAUUUAAUCUGCCACACAAACCAAUCUAACCUCUUACUCUCAUUCAGAUCAGUAACGUAAGGAAGAAGGAAGUACAGUGAGGGUUUAUGGUACAGUCCCGCCAACUGUUGUCCUUCGGCCACAAAUGUCUCACCAGAAAACAAAAAUAACGUUAGUUAGCUGACGAGUAAUACAUUAAAAAGUUGUUAAGAAAAAAUGUCCAGUUUAUUUAGCUAAUAUUUCCAUCACAUGAAAAAAUUAAACACGUAACAUGAAUUACUUUGAUUUGAUACCCAUGAAUAGUUCCUACAGCGUUGAGCAGACGGGGACACAAAAUCAAGUGGCACUGAGUUUCACAACACGAGGGAGUCGGGACACAAAUACUGCACAAUGGAACGUGCUCAUACUCGGUCUUGUUCAACCUCAAAAGUAGCUGGCUCAAAACUUUCUAGACCAUCGGAAACAAUGAAGAGAAAUAUCCCUGUCAUUGAUGAAUCCGUUGCGGAGGACGUAGCGGAAAUUUCUUCCACCGCUAUGACCACAGUGGCCCCAAAUGCACAAAUAACUGCAAAAAGACUACGCCAUGAGCUGGAGAUGGCCAAACAAAAAGUGGCAGCAGGAGAUGCUCAAGGAAGUGACCAAGGAGAGAGACUUUCUAAGGGAACAACUGGCUAUGACAAUAAAUAGGACAAGGGCGUUCCAUCAGAGGACAGCACAAGUCCCUUACAGCAAACCACUUCCGCCGCUUCAGCUACUUUCUCUUCUGAUUCCUCCGACUCGUCAUCCAACUCUUCAUAUGACUCUUCCUCCACGGAUGAGGGACGGAAGAAGAAAAAGAAGAACAGCAAAACAGUAAAGAGACGGAAGCAGGGGAAACGGGGAAAGAAAAGAAAGGAGCAAAGUGUUUACCAGAGAGCUCGAGAUCCUGAAGUGGUGGCCCGAUACCGAAAGGUGUUGAAAAUCUGCCAGGAGGGAAGGACCAUGGGGGCUGCUUUCAGAGCUGUGGGUGUUGACCGCAACACUAUUGUCGUGAAUGCCCCAAUGGCAGAACUUUGCAUUGCUGCCCCAGAAACAUUUGCAGAGCUCAGAGAGAGGUGCUCCAAGAAGGAGAAGCUCAGUUGUUUUACACAAAGGUGUAAAGAUGCCAUUGAGGGUGAUGACAGCAUUAUUACAAAAAUUAAAGCGUUCAAAGAGUCUGGCAAACUUCUGCCAAUAAAUAAAGGCAAGUGACUGGCGGAUCACCUUAGUUGUAUUUGCAUUGUUGCAUUUUUGUUGUUGUUCUUGUUGUAUUUAGCAGAUUAGAACGCAUGGUUAAAUGUGCAUUUAUUGUUAGUGUAGUUUUUUCAAAUAAAUGUUUUCCAAUUUCACUUUA